AGUCCUGUUAGAAAUCACGCCAGGAGACCUUUUUGGCAACGUUGUUUAAACCAAUGGUUUUCUUGUUUUCUUAUAAGGAAAGAAAGAUUUAAAUAAUCAUUCUUGUCUCAGCUGCUGUAUGAUUCAGAGGUAUUGGUUGUUCCUUCAUCUUACAGAAAUCUGAUGUCAUUCUCACGUGGCGAUGUAAAUUGGGGCCACUGACUUGAUAUGGCAGCUGGGAUGAAACCACGAGUAAGUCAAGUCUGGUGCAGGUCUGGUUGUUGAUGGCGGCUUCAUUGCUUGGUUUAUUCAAUGCAGGCUGUUCGCUAGUUGGCAAUUUCGAGGGAAACUACGCGGCACAGUGUGGGUCUGCGUGGAUGGAUUCGGCGGUUAAGUAUCGCAAAACUCUACAAGCAGUAUCCGCCGACCUGGGUUUCAGCUGUACGUUUCCGUGUUCUUUUGAAUUACAUUUGAAACCUGAAAAUAUUCUGUGUGGACAAUACUUCUUACUGAUGUUGAAUGGGUUUUUCUUUAAAAAAAACACUUUUAAACAUUCAUUUAUGUUGUCAGGAUUCACUGUCAGUGGUAGUUAUCAACGGUUUGAUGGCGGGCUGUCCGGUCUUUUACUUAAAAUCAGGGGACAGACACUUUGAUGGUACGAUACUGUCCAGAUCGUUUCUUCCUGAACAAGUAAAACUGCAUUGCUAAUGUUGGCUUUUGCCUCUCCUGGUAUCAUUGUGCUUUCUGGCAGUAACAAAGGGAUGAAUGCUUCGGAAUCCUGGCCAUCUGAAGUUGGGACUAAAAUGUGAAAUACACAUGAUGGUUGGCUGAAUUAAAGGCGACAUUGGUGUAACACGCGUUUGGAGAUUAGGUUUUUGAGCGAACUGGCUGAAAUAUUGGUCCCAUCUCAAAUGUAAAGUUGAUUGUUCCCAGGUAUUAGUUUUGGCGUACCGGAAAGUUUGGGGUAAGAACAGAAACAAGAUGGUUCGCAAGAUUUUAUUUGAGUAAUUUGCUUUCAUGACCUGUCAAAUUGUCCGAAAUGUUUAAAUUGGGGAUACAAACUUAAGUUUCUGUCGACAGGUUUUAUGAUGUAAACCAAUACAAAUGCUUAACUGUGUA